UGUGAGACAUCCUGUCUCAAGACAAUAAGGAGGUCUGAAGAGAUGGCUCAGCAGUUAAGAACACUUGUUCUUCUAGCAGAAAACCAGAUUUCCUCAAAGCUGCAGACUAGCAUCCAACACCUUGACUGGACUUCAUGUGACGGCUAGAGGACCAGCCAGGGGAAACCGUGACUGUGAGACCCCUCUGCAUUUCUUCCACAAAACCCCUGUGACCAGCAGCUCCUGCCUUCCUCCAGCUUUCAGACAGGUUAGGCACUCCUUUGGGCACUGGUCAUUCUGUUUUGCUCGUCAGGAAUUGCCUCCACACUGUAGUGAGACCAAGGCACUGGGAGGCCUUGGUGUUCUAAGUUCUUUGUGGGACUCUGGUCAGGCAAGUUGGUAGUACAGGCUCAGUGCUGUGGAAUACUAAUUUUACUAUGUAAAGAUGAGUUAUAUUUGUUUGUACAGUGGAAUAUUACUUUAACUGUGUAAAGGUGGUUUACAUUUGUUUGUGCUCAAUUUGUUUAACUAUGUAAAGAUGUGUUGCUGUUUCGCCUUGCCUACCUAAGGUACCUGAUUGGUCUAAUAAAAAAGCUGAAUGGCCAAUAUCUAGGCA
rnacentral:lncRNA from 1 species